ensembl:ncRNA H05L03.7 ncRNA
AAGAAUGACAUGUUGAGAUUGAAAAACAUGAUGUGAAUGUUAGCGACUUGGGGCGGGGCUUUUGCUCUCAAUGAAUGGAAAAGCCGGGGGUUUGGAGUCACUGACGAACAAUCCCAAGCUUAAUUGUG